rnacentral:lncRNA from 1 species
AAAAAUUAUUUAAUUAUUGAAUAUGAAUGACCUCAUCAGUAAGAUACGGGUGGUAACAAUGGCUACCACUGAGAGUUCUUUGAGGAGGAAAUCUAAUGCCAUACAUGAAUGUACGUAACACAUGGUAAGUAGUCAAUAAAAGUCCCUGUGACCUUUCCAAAUAGGAUAUAUACUUGGAGCUCCUAGAUGUAACAGCCAUGCUUUUAGCUUUUGUUUCUUGGUCCUUUUAGGGCCACACCCAAGGCACAUGGAGGUUCCCAGGCUAGGGGUCUAAUUGCACCAGCCACAGCCACAGCCACGCCAGAUCCAAGCCGUGUAUGCGACCUACACCACAGCUCAUUACAACACCAGAUCCUUAACCCACUGAGCGAGGCCAGGGAUCGAACCCACAACCUCAUGGUUCCUAGACGGAUUCAUUUCCACUGUGCCAUGACGGGAACAAUGCUUUUAACUUUUUGUAGGCAUCUCCAAAUGCCCCAAAUAUGUUGUGAUGGCCUGUCUUUUGACCAAAACACCAAUUUGUAUGCAGAUAUUAGGAAGUGAACAUGUGGUAACCAAUCACCUGACUUUUAAAUGUUAAAAAAUUCUUUGCUUUCUACUCUCUGGACAUCUUUGUUAACUGUUAUUAAACACCGUAAUAGCAAUUUUAAAGAUUAAGUAUUUGCAUGUGUUUGGGGCUAUGUAAAGGGCCUGCUGUGGAACAAAUAAGAAAUAAUUUUAUGGAGAGAACCUCUAAGCUAAGGAGCAGGCAGCAAAAUAGAUACACUAAAUAGAUACACUAAAAUCAUUAGUAGGAAAGAAUAGUCUUUACUCAUUUAGAUUUAUCACUACUGUGUAAGAAUUUAGGAGUAAUCACAGUAGCUUGAAUCCCACUUCAUUUGCAGAUUCAAUUCCUUCUUGCUGAAGCACACCUCUUUUAGCAGUUCAUUUAUCAGAUCUUAGUGUGGUGAAAUCGCUCUGUCUUUGCUUGUCUCAAAAUGUCUUUAUUUUUGCCCUCAGUUUUGAGUGACAGAUUAACUGGCUACUGGAGUUCCCUUGUGAUGUUCACUUCCUGUGGGUGCUUUGAAGAUGUUCCCCGAUUGUCCCUGUCAUUGCUACUGAUCAGAUCUUUGCCGGUCCAAUUGUUCUUUUGAAGCUGCUUUUUUUUCUCAGCUGGCAUUUAAGGCUUUCUUUUUCUCUUUGAUUUUCUCAAAUUUCACUAUGAUGUGUCUAGGUGUUUAUUACGCAUUUAGUGUUCUUGAGCUUGCACAGAACCUGGAUUCGUUGAGCGGCAGGUUUGGUUCUCUGAAGCUAGAUGAUGAGAUGGAGUAUGGCAAGCACCGUGUUUAUUAGGUGCCAACUAUCUGACCUCUAUUUUGGCAGGUACCGCCAUCCUCAUGGCCAUUGUCAAACCAAGUUCUAUGAUAGCCUCUCUCACUGUCAGCCUGGGUCUGCAUGAACCACCACGGAAUGUUCGGUGAUGCUCAAACCCCUUCCCUUAGCUCAUCCCACAUAACUUUGGUAAAUGGUGUGUCAUCCAAGUCUUCCUGUAAAGCAUAGCCAUCUGGCGGCCAUUGAGCCACAUACAGAAUACCUAUUACUGGCUGCCCACUGCCGUGAGCCUCUGAAGCCUUUCUUCCUUUGUCAUUCGGCCUCGACCAUGUCUCCCCAAAAUUAUGGGCCAUAAUUUUUUCCAUGCUUCCAGGAGCUAACCUCGUAGUCAUUGUGAGUCAUGUCUUAGGGUAUUUGCCAGGGUUAAACUUAUCUAUUCUUUAUCUCAGGACACUAUUCCCAAGUAAAUAUACUUACCCGUGCAGUUUCAUGUUUGGGUCCAGUGUUCUCGGAGUCCAGUGCCACACGUAUUCUCUGGCUUCUACCAGUCUGUGCCAGGGAGGGCUUACAACACCUUUGUGGGUACAGUCCCUUUGUACCCUUAUCUGGCCCAUACAUCCAGUUGGGUUACGCUGCUCAUUUGCCCUAGUCCUCGGCCUGGUGUCCCAGAGGAGAUAUGGAGGGGGGGUCCCAAGGAGAGAGGUAGGAUGUGUCACCCUGGGAUAAAGUGUCCUCAGCACUUACACCAUGACACUGGGGAGGGGGCUGUGGAGAGUGGGGAUGCUCAGCCUUGGGGGGAAGAUCGGCAAAUCUUUAGGGUGAGAAGAAGUCAAAAUCUGCAAGGACACACACCUCGAUGUCCCUAGGCUCUGUAUCCAGGCCUAGGUUUUCUCAGCUUCACGUAACAGACCUGUCCUGCUUGGGCAUUUGACAGUCUCUGGGGUGCAGCCAUUAUGUUCAUUAGGUCUGGGCUCCACCCUCAUUUUUCCCUGCUAGAGGAGACGGGAAUUUCUUUGUGUGCAGCCAAAUGAGACCCCCGGCUUUCUCACCCCGUUUUCAGGUGCCUCUAACUCAUCCUUAGCUGCUUUUCAUAUUUCUGUAAAGCAUCAGUGUUACUUAGCAGGAGAUGCCAAGUCGAAAUUAUUACCAUUUUGUCCAUAAUCUUAAAAGUCUGAGACAUUCAACCCACAGGGCCUCCUUUCCACUGAUAGACCCUCUCACUUUACCACCAGUUAAGAGAUUUAGUAAUGUGCCACCCUGUGCCAGGGGCUACAGAAAACAAGGACAGUGGAGCGAGUUCCAGUCCUUGUUACGGUACAUCUGAGAUACCCUGCUGACAUCUCAUGAGUGAGCGAGCGUUGACUAUUGAUAUGUAGGUUUUGCCAAGAGGCUAGAAUUGGACUCAUUUCUUUACCCGUAAACUCAUUUAUGUUGGCCAGGAAGCUUUUGAGUUCAUAUAAAGAGUUCAAGGUAGUUUUGCAACAAUUUAUGCACACCAUAACUUCUGCCAACAAUAUUGCCAUGUACCUUCAAAAUGAGAAAUUGGUGUUGGCCUGUUGUAUCAUUAUUUGGGACUAUGCAAAUAAACUGCUAAGUAAGCACUUAUUAAGAGACUUAGAUGAAAAGAAAAAUAUCCUUUAAAUGGAUGACAUAGAUGUCUUUUGACCUUAAAGAACUUAAAAAAAAAAAAAAACAAACCGUAAGUCCGCAAUCAUAAUAAUAUUGGGAAAGGGAGUGAUUAUUUAAGUUAAAUGAUCUAUGAGAUAGAGGUGUGUGCUCCUCCCCAUAAAGCAGAACUUCCUACCAAGGGCCUGGGCGAUUCAGUUCACUGCUGUAACAAACAGGAUCACAGCACUCUGUAAGCCAGAGAGAACGUGCAAAGUGGCUUCAAGGACUUGAAUGGGAGCCCCUGGCAGCCCAGUGUUUCCAGACCUCUCUCUGAGGGGAGAUUUCUAGGAGGGUAUUUUCAAUUACCUCCUGUCUGUUCAACCUUUGCAAGGAAUUUAAUUGGAACAGACAGAGUAUUUAAGGGGAAUAAGUAAUGACAGCAUAGAUGGGUAGCGAUCAAUAGCCGGGGGGCCCCUGCCCUAGCUGAUACAUGGUGCUUUCUGAGACUUAUAUGUUCACUCUCGGGAAAAAAAAAAAAAAAAAAAA